UGGAUUUAUGUUUUCUCUUCAAAUGAUUGAGGUCAUCUAGAGGCGACAGCUCGCCGAUCCAACAUCUGCACUGGUGUUCAGCUCUCAUGCUGGUGUGAGAAAAGCUAAAGGGGGAACCUGGGAAAGAUGCCAAAGGCUCUGAAAAAAAGAAAAAAGUGACAUUGCUCAUUGAUUCAUUUAGCUGAACUCUCUCAAACCCCUCCCACUCAGGAGGGCUGAUAUUAUCCCCGAUGGAGGGAGAGGACGAAUUGAGGGGAGGAUGGAGGGAGACACGGAGAAAAACAGGCAGAACAGAGAUGUCAGAAAAGACAGGCUGUGUGUGAGCAGACGUCCCUCUGUCACCCCUGUACGGACAGACGCACUCACGCCAGUAGGAGGGGAUUGUGGGAAGGGGGUGUAGCUCUCAGAGGGUGUGCUCUACUCUUCUCUUUUCCCUUCUUCCCGCCAUCACGGCCCUCUUCUCCUUCAGUCCUCCGGCCCAGCCCGCCGCUCACAUGCAGGCUCCAGGAAAGUUACCUUUGGAUCUUUUUGGAUCAUUGAUGAUGAAGCAACGUGGAUGCUGUCCUUGGGGCUGAGGUAGUAGAUUGAAUAGUUGUGGGGUUUUGCGACCUCUUUUUGAGAUAACUAUACAAUCUACUGUCUUUCCCAAGGAGACAGCUGAGUCAGCCACUCGCCGACUGUCAUCUCCAGAUGGGCAAUCGUGCUGUCCGAUCAAAAAAAAGAAAAAACGCUUGCAGCAUUCAACAUAAUUCAUUGGGACCAGGUUUUUUUGGGGGUUUUUUUUUACAUUUUUUUCUCCCUAGAACAGGUAAAUGCGUUUUUUUACCCCCCUGAUAGGUGAACCUGUGUUCAAUUUGGGGCUCUGCCAGGGUGAGGUAGUAGGUUGUAUAGUUUGGUGGGUGGGACUGCACCCUGCUCAGGUGAUAACUAUACAGUCUAUUGCCUUCCCUGAGGAGCUCACUCGACAUUGAUGAAUAUUCAACUCACUCUCAUGGCUCAAGCAUCACACUUGUUCUCAGACAUCACUAAAAAAAGAGAAAAGAAAAGCAGCAGGGACAUUUGUGCUUCAAAUGAUUAGUUUAAUUAACUGUGGCUGUUAAACUGACUGAAGCUGUCUAAUGACCUGCUUUAAAAUAUGUACAUCUUAAAUAAAGUCACACUUGCCUCAAA